UAUGAAUUAAAUAUAAUAUAUAUAUAUAUAUAUCAUUUUACAAUGAUAAGAACUAUUUAAUAUAGAAUUCAUUCAAUUAUA
rnacentral:tRNA from 1 species